AUUGAACGCUGGCGGCAUGCCUUACACAGGCAAGUCGAACGGGGUGAGGAGCUUGCUCCUCAUCUAGUGGCGAACGGGUGAGUAAUACAUCGGAACGUACCGUGUAGUGGGGGAUAACGUAGCGAAAGUUACGCUAAUACCGCAUACGCUCUACGGAUGAAAGCAGGGGACCUGCUGGCCUUGUGCUAUACGCGCGGCCGAUGUCUGAUUAGCUAGUUGGUGGAGUAGAGGAUCACCAAGGGGACGAUCAGGAGCGGGUCGGAGAGCAUGAGCCGCCAGAGUGGGACUGAGACACGGCCCAGACUGCUACGGGGGGCAGCAGUGAGGAAGUUUGGUCAAUGGGCGAAAGCCUGAGCCAGCCAUGCUGCGGGUCUGAAGAAGGCCUUCGGGUUGUAAAGGACUUUUGUCAGGGAGCAAAACUUACUGGUUAAUUCCCCGUGAGGCUGAGAGUACCUGAAGAAUAAGCACCGGCUAACUACGUGCCAGCCGCCGCUGUAAAAC
rnacentral:rRNA from 1 species